UAAUAAAUAAAUAAAAAUAUUUUAAAAAUAAAAAUAUAUUUUUUAAUUUUUUUCAAAUUAUAUUAUUUCAAAAUUCAAACCCUAAAACUUAAAACUCAAAUCUAAACCCUAAACCAUCAAUCCUAAACCCUAUAUAUUUCUUGAAAUAGGAACCCUAAACCCUAAAACCUCAACUCUAAACCCUAAACCCUAAAAAGUAAACUCUAAACCCUA
rnacentral:lncRNA from 1 species